UACGUAGGGGGCAAGCGUUGUCCGGAAUUAUUGGGCGUAAAGAGCUCGUAGGCGGUUCGUCGCGUCGGCUGUGAAAUCCCGAGGCUCAACCGCGGGUCUGCAGUCGAUACGGGCGGACUGGAGUUCGGCAGGGGAGACUGGAAUUCCUGGUGUAGCGGUGAAAUGCGCAGAUAUCAGGAGGAACACCGGUGGCGAAGGCGGGUCUCUGGGCCGAUACUGACGCUGAGGAGCGAAAGCGUGGGGAGCGAACAGG
rnacentral:rRNA from 1 species